rfam:TPA: Bos taurus chromosome 10, whole genome shotgun sequence.
UCCCUAGUAGCUCAGACAGUAAAGCGUCUGUCUGCAAUGCAGGCGACCCGGGUUCGAUUCCUGGGUUGGGAA